rnacentral:rRNA from 1 species
GACGAACGCUGGCGGCGUGCUUAACACAUGCAAGUCGAACGGAAAGGCCCUGCUUUUGUGGGGUGCUCGAGUGGCGAACGGGUGAGUAACACGUGAGUAACCUGCCCUUGACUUUGGGAUAACUUCAGGAAACUGGGGCUAAUACCGGAUAGGAGCUCCUGCUGCAUGGUGGGGGUUGGAAAGUUUCGGCGGUUGGGGAUGGACUCGCGGCUUAUCAGCUUGUUGGUGGGGUAGUGGCUUACCAAGGCUUUGACGGGUAGCCGGCCUGAGAGGGUGACCGGCCACAUUGGGACUGAGAUACGGCCCAGACUCCUACGGGAGGCAGCAGUGGGGAAUAUUGCACAAUGGGCGGAAGCCUGAUGCAGCGACGCCGCGUGCGGGAUGACGGCCUUCGGGUUGUAAACCGCUUUCGCCUGUGACGAAGCGUGAGUGACGGUAAUGGGUAAAGAAGCACCGGCUAACUACGUGCCAGCAGCCGCGGUGAUACGUAGGGUGCGAGCGUUGUCCGGAUUUAUUGGGCGUAAAGGGCUCGUAGGUGGUUGAUCGCGUCGGAAGUGUAAUCUUGGGGCUUAACCCUGAGCGUGCUUUCGAUACGGGUUGACUUGAGGAAGGUAGGGGAGAAUGGAAUUCCUGGUGGAGCGGUGGAAUGCGCAGAUAUCAGGAGGAACACCAGUGGCGAAGGCGGUUCUCUGGGCCUUUCCUGACGCUGAGGAGCGAAAGCGUGGGGAGCGAACAGGCUUAGAUACCCUGGUAGUCCACGCUGUAAACGGUGGGUACUAGGUGUGGGGUCCAUUCCACGGGUUCCGUGCCGUAGCUAACGCUUUAAGUACCCCGCCUGGGGAGUACGGCCGCAAGGCUAAAACUCAAAGGAGUUGACGGGGCCCCGCACAAGCGGCGGAGCAUGCGGAUUAAUUCGAUGCAACGCGUAGAACCUUACCUGGGUUUGACAUGGAUCGGGAGUGCUCAGAGAUGGGUGUGCCUCUUUUGGGGUCGGUUCACAGGUGGUGCAUGGCUGUCGUCAGCUCGUGUCGUGAGAUGUUGGGUUAAGUCCCGCAACGAGCGCAACCCUUGUUCACUGUUGCCAGCACGUUAUGGUGGGGACUCAGUGGAGACCGCCGGGGUCAACUCGGAGGAAGGUGGGGAUGACGUCAAGUCAUCAUGCCCCUUAUGCCCAGGGCUUCACGCAUGCUACAAUGGCUGGUACAGAGAGUGGCGAGCCUGUGAGGGUGAGCGAAUCUCGGAAAGCCGGUCUCAGUUCGGAUUGGGGUCUGCAACUCGACCUCAUGAAGUCGGAGUCGCUAGUAAUCGCAGAUCAGCAACGCUGCGGUGAAUACGUUCCCGGG